AGGUCACGUUCAUACAAUCAGUGUGAUUUGGAGAUUCAUUUACAGUAAAUUCAGGAUUAACAGGGUCAGCAGUUCAGUCUUACUCCGACUGAAUGGAGUUGCAGGAGUCCAUACUGGAUUCACAGCCUGAAAAAUGUGCUUUGUAGGAAGAGUUUUUGUCACCUUCUUGUUUUAAUAAGGAAGAAGAAGAAGGAGAAGAAGAAGAAGAAGAAGAAGAAGCCUCAUGGUACCAACCUAAAUUGGUAAAAUUAAGGAAGUUUUUAGUUCCCCUGCUAAUUCAGAGAUAAAUAGAAAGCCUGAGUUUUUGAACCACCUUUGGCAAUUUGCUUCCAGCCGUCCAGCAACUCUGUCGUGGACACGUUUACAACUGAUCACUGCUGUACUGAACUGAGAGCGACGACACUGAGGCAGUGAAGGUUUAACUGGGCUGCGGCACCUGGAGCUCGUAUGGAUUCAGUUUGUUGUCAAAGGACAUUUCAACAGGACAAACUGCAUCAAGGAGGAAACAUGGUUGCUCAGAGACUUGGCACUUCAAUUAAAGGGUUACAGUGGAAAUCCACUUCAAGUCACAGAAAAUUCUGAGGAAAACAAACGCCAUCCUAAAGCAACCGGCUCUUAUCGAAGCCUGGAUCAUCCACACCGUAUGACACGACAUGGAUUCAUUUAAAGACGGACUUCAAGGAACUGAAUCUGAGACAAAAGUACCCAGUUCCUCAUUUAAUAAUAUGUCACUCUUGGUGUGCAUGCACUGUAUGCGUGUACUUUAUUUCUCAGGCCACAAGCACAACAAACAGACAGCGACUAAUAGAGUUCUGUGUAGAAAACCAGGAGGCAUUUAAAAAGUCAUUGAAAAAUGCUGAGAGAAGCAGAUCAGACAGACGGUCUGUAGAUGUCUGUGUGUAAAGAGGAAAAACAGACACAGUGACGAGUACAGCAGAGCAGAAUUUAAUAGUUUUCUUUUGCAAAUUCAAUAAAAAUUUACAAUCCAAUUAUUUCAAUCAUUUCUUCAGUAAAUGUUGAUAUAACCACACUAGACAAAGUAACGUAUAUGUUUGACUGAAUCAUUCUUUAAGCUGCUGAAAGUGUCUCGUCAAAUUGUUAUCAUACAUUUGUAGUGUGUUAUUGCCCAUAAGGUCAGAAAAGGACACACAAAAGGCAGCAGCUCCCACUGCCUGUGAACAUUAUAUCUAUUCAAAUUUUACUUCUCAAAUAACGUAAAUAAAUUGUAUACGGCUUAUAAAAUUUCCCUGUAUGAAUUUUAA